rnacentral:lncRNA from 1 species
GGGGCGGUAAGGCUCAGGCAUGGCGGGCUGCAGGUCCUGAUCCCUGCCCGGCGGGGAGGCAGCUAAGGCCUGGCGAGAAAUCGAGCACAGCAGCUGCUGGCCCAGGUGCUAAGCCCCUCACUGCCCGGGAUCGGCGGGGCUGGCCGGCAGCUCCCAGUGCGGGGCCCUCCGAGCCCACGCCCCACCGGGAACUCCCGCUGGCUCGCAAGCGCCGGGCGCAGCCCCAGUUCCCGCCCGCGCCUCUCCCUCCUCACCUCCCAGCAAGCUGAGGGAGCCGGCUCCGGCCUCGGCCAGCCCAGGAAGGGACUCCCACAGUGCAGCGGCGGGCUGAAGGGCUCCUCAAGUGCCGCCGGAGUGGGCGCCCAGGCAGAGGAGGCGCCCAGAGCGAGCGAGGACUGCGAGGACUUGCCAGCACGCUGUCACCUCUCACUUCCAGAACUAGCCACAUCUCUAAGGAGCUCUCAUUCCUGUUAAUGAAGAAUGAUAUUUACAAACCAAAAUCCAGGAACUAGUGGUCUGGAACUGAACCUGCAAUAUCUCCAAAGUACGCCUGUACUUAGAAUCAGUCUUGGCAUUUCAGGGCAUUGUGAAUCUUCAUUUAGGUUUAGGAGCAAGAUAAUGGAAUAGAAGCCUACAACAUUUGCUCUCCGACCCCACUGGAAAACCAAAUGACUCUUGGGUUUCCUGACACCAGGCCUAGGUGGUGGGACAGCAUUUCUGGACCUGCCCUGGGAAAGAAGGGAGCUUAACAGUCCUGAAAGGACAGACUAGUUCUCCGUCCCUUGCAGCUCAUGGGCUGAGUUCUGACCAAUGGGAUGUAGACAGAGAUGAUGCGCAAUCUUGAAAGGAUAUUACUCUGUCGCCCAAGCUGAAGUGCAGCGGCAUGACCAUAGCUCAUUGCAGUCUCAACCUCCUGGGUUCAAGUCAUCCCCGUGCCUCAGCCUCCCAAGUAGCUGGGACUGCAGACCUGCAAGAUAAGGUUGAAUAGUUGUGUACAGCAUCCUCGCCUCAAAUGGAGAUCUUUCAAAGUGUCACUCUUUAGCAGGAUUUCAAAGAGAGGCUGUUUGCUUGACUGAAGGAAGUGCCUUUUGACAGAAGAUGCAAUUUAUGUUAUAUGAAUGAUAUUUCUGAUGGCCAAAAGGACCUGUGAUAGCCUGAGAGUCAAAGACAAGCAGGAACGCAUCUGUAGUCAAACAAGGUCAGGUUUAUUUAGUGGACUGCAUCAAAUAAGAACACCCCCAAAUAGGAACUUGGGGCACCUCAGUAAUGGAGAUUUCACAGGAGUUGUUUAUAUGUUUGUGCUUGUGCUUGAUAUUCCCAAGGCAGAUAUGGAAUGAAUCCUGGCUUGGAUUGGUUCUUGUCAACAAGGAGGAGCAGGUUAGCAAUCAGAUUCUCGGUAUUCAUUGUUCAGGUGGUGCUGUAUGUCCCCUCCAAAAGCAUGUUGAAAUUUAAUUGCCAAUAUAAUUGUAUUGUGAGGUAGGACCUUUAAGAGGGGUUUGGCUCAUUGAAGCUCCACCCUCAUGAAUAGAUUAAUGUCAUUAUCGUGGGAGUGGGAUUGUUAUCAUGGGAAUGGGCUCCUGAUAAAAGAGUGGUUUCUGCCUGAUCUCCUCUUUCCCUCUCUCGCAUGCUCACUUGCCCUUCCACCAUAUUAUGAUGCAGCAGGAGGGCCCUCACCAGAUGCUGAUAACAUUUUUUUAACUUCUCAGCCCUCAAAACUGUGAAGAAUAAUUUCUUUCUUUUAUACAUCACCUAGUCUGUGCUAUUCUGUUAUAGCAGAAGACAAUAAACUAAGACAGACAUCGGGAAAACAACACGGGCUUGGGGACAUCAUUUAUAAGAAAGUGAUAAUCACUCAGAGAAAAAAAUGAUUAGUCAUAUUUUCAGCUAUAGUGUGGCCUUUUGUAUAAGCACUGUAUACAAAAAUGCUAUAUCCCAUUGGAAGCAUUUUUUUUUUUUUUUGAGAAGGAGUCUCACUCUGUAACUCAGGCUAGAGUGCAGUGGCACGAUCUCGGCUCACUGCAACCUCCUCCUCCUGGGGUCAAGCGAUUCUCCUGCCUCAGCCUCCCGAGUAGCUGGGACUACAGGUGUGCACCACCGGGCCCAGGUAAUUUUUUUGUAUUUUUGGUAGAGACAGGAUUUUACCAUGUUGGCCAGGCUGGUCUCGAACUCCUGACCUUUUCACUUUCUCAAAAAGAAUAUUGUGACACAACCAUGAAGUGAAGAGUUCUAAGAUCCAACAUAGUCUCACUGAGUUGAUGCAUGUUUUUACCUGACUUCUGAUCAUUUUAUAAACAAUUAAAAUAGUACAGCGGGACAGGACCUUAGAAAUUGUCAUUAUAUGUAUGGAGAGCCUGGAGCACAUUCCCAGGGUCUGCCAAGCAGUUUGUGCCAAAAGAAGGAUUAGGACCCAGAUCUCUGACAAUUAGACAAGGAUCCUUCACAGGACAUCUAUUUUCAUCCUGGUACACACACACACACCUGUACCAAUUUCAGGGGUAAAGUAUUUUGCAAGUGAUUUACUACUAAUAAGAGUGAAAAUACUGGAGUGAUUCUCUAUUACUGUUUUCUCACUGUAAAAAUUUCAAGCAUACAAUCAUAAUAAAGUUAUCUCUUUACUUCAAUCUCCUUUCUCAUCUCCAUAUGGAUAAAUAUGUGUAUCUGACUAUUAUAUUAAAGUAAUGAUAUAGUAGUACAUAUUGUUUUGCUGUUGGCUUUUCCCAAUUAAUAACACACUUUGGAUACUGUUCUGUGUCAGUGUCAAUAAAAUCUGUAAACAUAGAUAACAUUAUUUUAUUAUUUUACAAGGUGAAGAUGUCCUUAAUGAUAUUCAAUAUACUUUUCUACAUUUACAGACUAUGUACAUUUUGUAGAUAGAACUUUUUUAUUAAAAUUAACGUUAUUAACCAUUUAUUUAAAAUACUCACAAAUAUUUUUAUUCAAAAAUUAUCUUGAGUAGUAAGGUUAUUGAGAUGCACAAUAAAUGAGCUACGUACUGCUUAUGAGAGAUGGUAGGCCAUUCUUUCUGUGGAUCAUAAGAAAUAUUUUAAAUAAAUAAAUAGUUUGAAU